rnacentral:lncRNA from 1 species
GUAGUAACCUCCCUCCAAAGAGUAAAAUAUGGAAAAGAGGAAAUGGAAAAACAAAUAUCUGUUUACUUCUUUAUUGUCUAUCUUCCCCAUUUAAAUGUAGUCACGCCUUUCCUUGCUCUAAAUACCAUGCUAACAGCAGUGCCCAGUCAGUGAAUAUUUGUUGAAUAAAUGAAGAUUUAACUUUCUAGGGUCAGGGUCUUCCUGUAUGUUUCUGAAAAACUUUUAGAGAUCACUUCGUUUUGCCUAAUCAACUUCCUCAAUUCUCACAGUAGUUGCAACUAUUGAUAAAUAAAUAAUAAACCCUGACUGAAGAUCUGUAAUGAUCUCAGAUGAGGAAUUAUCUGAACUGUGUGCAAGGACUUUAUGACAUCAAUGUUGGCCACUCAAGGCCUUAAAUUUUUCUUGGCCAUAUUCUGGAGAUUUUAUGUAAGGUUGCCAAAUUGUUAUGCUAUGAAUAUAAGAAUGGUUAGCUGUUACUUUAAUCCUGAACAAAAUAUGUGCAGUACAGGAAGUAUUCUUGGAAGAAAAAAAAUGCAAUACAUUCCCAAACCAAAUAUUAGCUAUUUAAAAAUUUUAAGUAUUCUCUUAAAAAAAAUCACAUAUCCAUGCCACUCCUCUUUAGAGAGUGUAAUCAAGAGAAGAUUGGAUUAAUAUUGACAAAUGCCACUAAUUUUAUUUCCCGCAAACAUCUUCAAAUCAUGAGUAAUAUGCUGCUAUCUACAGGAACCACAAGAUAACAGAUUUUUUUCUCGAGGCCACAUUGCCCCUACAAAAAUAAUUUUAACAGGCUAAACUGUCAUUCAAUUUAGAGUAGUGCAAAAUGCAUUUCCCUUUGGCAAUAAGCAAUUUUUUCAUUAAUAGCCAAGACUGAUCGUUGUAAAGUUCCUUUAUCUUUUUAUACAGUACUGUGCAGCUCAAGGUAGUAUCACAAGGUCAGAAUGAAUAUAAAACCCAUCUUUAUUCAAAAUACAUUAACAAAGACAGUAGGAACAUUCUGUGCAUAGCCCAACAAUGAAACACACCAAAAUGUCAGAACUGCUUUAAUUAUGUGAGAGUACCAAUUGUUCUUAACACAAAUCAAAUGUGUAACAAAAGAAAUAAAAUUACUUUUAGCUUCUUCACACACCUACUUAUCUUACAAAAUUUAAAUUUUCAGGGGGCUUGAACUCCCAGUUUUAUCUUCUCCUUUCCCGUCUAGGUUCGAAAACAGUUUUUCUCACAUCUUUCCUUUUGGAAGGGCCCUCAUUUGGCAAUUCUCAUGAAUGUUAGUUACUCCAUUCUCAUCACAAGGGGUCAUAUAAACAAUGAAUAUUUCCUUAGCUGAAUUCCUUCUUCUUGUAUUGUCUCUAUAAUAGAAAAAUGAUAAUAAAAAAUCAAAUUUAUCCAGACAGCAUCCUCUUUAACUUCAGUUGCUCAGUCUGUCCUAUGGGAAUGAAGUGACCCAGGAUGGCAGUGUGCCUAUUGAUUAAUUACUUACUGGAGUCAUCUUCACAUAGUCAAAUUCAGAAGGGGGGGGGGGGUGUCUCAUGAAGUCUAAGAAGGUUUAUAAGCACACCAACAGUAUAAAUUCUAGCUCAUACAUAUGGGAAGUAGAAAAUGAUGUAAAUGGUCAUAUAGAAAUAUACAUGAGCACAAAAAUAUGAAAUGCACAUAACUAGGGUUAAUAUCUGAAGCAGAUUUAUACUGUGAGAAUUAAUUUUUAUUUAGGAUUUGUUGUCCAUUGUCACAGAAGUAGUUUACUGUUCACACAAAUUUAUGCUACACUGCCAUGUUAAUUGAGAGAUAGCUGCCCAGACAGGACCAUUAUUAGUGGGCUUCCCCUCCCCUCAUACCAUAUUCUCAAAGAGAUGAUGGUCAUGUCACUAUUUUCCAAAAAUGGAAGAAGAAGUAAUAUGGACCUCUUCCAGGUCAGAGGUUUUCAGAAGCAGGUAGACCUUCUGUUCACUGGCUAUAUACAGACAUAUCUCAUUUUACUGUGUUUGCAGAUGCUGUAUUGUUGUUGCUGUUGUUUUAGUAAAUUGAAGGUUUGUGACAACCCUGCAUUGAACAAGUCUAGUAGAGAAAUGAUCACUCACUCCAUGCCUCUGUGUCACAUUUUGGCAAUUCUUGCAAUAUUUCUAACUUUUUCAUUACUUUAUUCCUUAUAGUAAUCUUUGGUGUUACCAUUGUAACUGUUUUGAGGCACCAUGAACUAUCUCCAUUAUAAGAUGGCAAACUUAAAGGAUAAAUGUCAUAUGUAUCUGACUGUUAUGUAUCUGAUUGUUUGACCAGCUGAUGGUCCCCUCCCCCUCCUCAGGCCUUCCUAUUCGCUGAGACACAACAAUAUUGAAAUUAGGCCAAUUAAUAACCCAAUAACAGCUGUAAGUGUUCAAGGGAAAGAGUCACAUAUCUCUCAUUUUAAAUAAAAAGCUAAAAAUGAUUAAACUUAAUGAGGAAGGUAUAUCAAAAGCCAAGACAAGCUGAAAGCUAAGCCUCUUACAUGAAACAGCCAAAUUGUGAAUGUAAAAGGAAAGUGCUUGCAGGAAAUUAAAAGUGGUAAUCCAGUGAACACACAAAUGAUAAGAUAGUAAAACAGCAUUAUUGCUGAUUGGAGAAAGUUUUAGUGGUCUGGAAGAUCAAACCAGCCAUAACAUUCCCUUAAAGCAAACCUUAAUCUAGAACAAGGCCCUAACUCAUUCAGUUUGAUGAAGGCUGAGAGAGGUGAGGAAGCUGCAGGAGAAAAGUUGGAAGCCAGUAAAGGUUGGUUCAUGAGGCUUAAGGAAAGAAGUCAUCUUCAUACCAUAAAAGUGCAAAGUGAAGCAGCAAGUGCUGAUGUAAACUGCAGCAAGUUAUUCAAAAGAUCUAGCUAAGAUAAUGAAGGUGGCUACACUAAACCAUCAUUUUCAGUGUAGACAAAAGUCUUAUAGUAGAAAAAGAUGCCAUGUGGGCCUUUCAUAGCUAGAGAGGAGAAGUCAAUGCCUGCAUUCAAAACCUCAAAGGACAGGCUGACUCUCUUGCUGGGAACCAAGGCAGUUGAUGACUUUGGCUUGAAGCCAAUGCUCAUUUCCCUUUCCAGAAAUCCUAAGGCCCUCAAGAAUUAUGCCAAAUCUACUCUUCCUGUGCUCUAUACAUGGGAAACAAAACCUGUGUGACAGCACAUCGUUUAUAACAUGGUUGACUGAAACCAUGUAAGCCCACUGUUUAGACCUGCUGCUCAGGAAAAAAAAAAAAAAAAA